rnacentral:rRNA from 16 species
UCGUAGGUGACCUGCGGAAGGAUCAUUA